GCAUGAUGAACAGAGCUUCUCUACUCCGACUGCUCUCCGUCAUCUCCCUACUGUGCUGCACAACAAAGCAAGCUCGUCUGACUGUGAGUCCCAGCAGCUCUCAGUUUUUUAAA